rnacentral:lncRNA from 1 species
UGGGAUUGUCGGUUAGUUGCCGACGGAUGAUUAUAGUUUACUUAUAUCCAUCGUUUAACAUGUCUGUGACCUAGUCGGUCAGUGCAUUGUAUAUGUUUUCAUGACCUGAUUGGUCGGUCGUUGUAUCUCGUAUCGGUUCCUUGACUUCUGUCGUUGAUGACCUGUGAGGUCGGUGUACCCUGAGGGGUAGGAUUGUCAGCUAGUGGCUGACGGUAGUUCCAGAUUAUAAUGAUAUAUUCCGGUGACUUAUUGGUUGAUUCUUGCAUCUAUACUUUAGUUGACCCAUCGAGCAGUAUUUCCAUACCUUUGAGAGGAUGUUGAGUCGUUCCAUCCUAGUUGACCUGAGUGGUCGGUUCUUGUACUUCCUUAUUGUGACACACUGGACCUUUGCAAAUUGCGAGGUUCGAGUGAUUGGAU